CGAGCGUCCCAGGCCCACCGUUAGUCCCGCCCCCGCACCGGGAUCCCGGCCGCGAGGGUGCGGCGGCGGGUCAGCAUCCCUGCGCCUCCUACUCUUCCCAGCAACCGGUGACGCGCACGCGCGAGGCCGGCCACUGGCAAAGCCGCGGAGCGCGGCCGGAGCGUGACCCCCGCCCAAGUCGCUUCCCCCGCUGCCCCGCUGUGGGCCGCGCUCUGGCAGCCCUUCCUCUCAGCCGCAGCCCCGCAGCCCCGCAGCCCGGGAGGCGGGGCGGAAGCCCGCCGAAAGGGAGCCGCCCCGCGUCCGAGGAGCCCGUCAGCGGCCGGUUUUCUCCCAGGGAUAGAGUCCUUUGCUUCCAGAGCAAGCUCCGACAUGGGGGCAUAGCACAUCUUGCUCCAGAGGUAUGGGAGGACCUCCCACAUUGGCCACUCUUGCCCAGGGCAGCAGAAGGGAGCAGACCCGCCGAGCCCACCCCUGCAG